GGAGAGGUGCCGGAGUGGCCGAACGGGCCUGACUCGAAAUCAGGUGUACCCUUCUCGGGUACCGUGGGUUCGAAUCCCACCCUCUCCGCCA
rnacentral:tRNA from 1 species